rnacentral:rRNA from 1 species
UACGGGGGGGGCAAGCGUUGUUCGGAAUUACUGGGCGUAAAGGGCUCGUAGGCGGUCAACUAAGUCGGAUGUGAAAUCCCCAGGCUUAACCUGGGAACUGCAUCCGAUACUGGAUGGCUUGAAUUCGGGAGAGGGAUGCAGAAUUCCAGGUGUAGCGGUGAAAUGCGUAGAUAUCUGGAGGAAUACCGGUGGCGAAGGCGGCAUCCUGGACCGAGAUUGACGCUGAUGAGCGAAAGCUAGGGGAGCAAACGGG